GGAAUAUAAGAACCCGUCUCUUAACUUUUAACUAAAAAGCUAAUAACCGGUUAUUAAAUAAGAGUUUUAAGAGCCGGUUCUAAACCUUUUUAGUUAAAAGUUAAGAGACAGAUUCUUAUAUUCC
rfam:Brassica napus, WGS project CCCW01000000 data, contig: 11578